rnacentral:rRNA from 1 species
GAUGAACGCUGGCGGCGUGCCUAAUACAUGCAAGUCGAGCGAACAGACGAGGAGCUUGCUCCUCUGACGUUAGCGGCGGACGGGUGAGUAACACGUGGAUAACCUACCUAUAAGACUGGGAUAACUACGGGAAACCGGAGCUAAUACCGGAUAAUAUAUUGAACCGCAUGGUUCAAUAGUGAAAGACGGUUUUGCUGUCACUUAUAGAUGGAUCCGCGCCGCAUUAGCUAGUUGGUAAGGUAACGGCUUACCAAGGCAACGAUGCGUAGCCGACCUGAGAGGGUGAUCGGCCACACUGGAACUGAGAAACGGUCCAGACUCCUACAGGAGGCAGCAGUAGGGAAUCUUCCGCGAUGGGCGAAAGCCUGACGGAGCAACGCCGCGUGAGUGAUGAAGGUCUUCGGAUCGUAAAACUCUGUUAGUAGGGAAGAACAAAUGUGUAAGUAACUAUGAACGUCUUGACGGUACCGAAUCAGAAAGCCACGGCUAACUACGUG